UUACCGGGAAGUCAUUUCAUCAAUGUUUAACUAAUACUAUAGCUACCUUGAACCAUCUGGCAUCUUGUGGCUUAAAGUAUCAGUACAGAAGGCCCAGAUUUGCCAACAAGCAAAGGUUUCUUUAGUUCCUGCUUGAACUUGGCAAAAGGAAUCUUAUUGCAAACAGAAAAGAAAUCGUAAUUCAAACGAAAGUUCCCAAUACCAUGAAAUAGGAGGGUUCCUGGGAAUGGCGGGCUACAGCCACAUUUGGACUCCAAACUUUGGGCUCAUUGCUAAACCACGGUAUGAAGCUCUUAAAGGGCCAGAAUAUAGCCCUUCAGAAUGGGCAAAGAAAUGCACUCAGGCUUUUGGGUCCCUGAAGGUACACCUGGCUUCUGCAACUGCCUUCUACACCAGCCUUUGGGCUUCCAGAUCUACUAAAGCCCUUUUCAUUGUAUGUUCAGGAAAGGCAGGGUGUUGCCCUAGGAGUCCUCACCCAAAUGCUUAGUGACAUUCUGCAACCCAUCAUAUACUUGUCAGAGAAACUAAAUCACACUGUCCAGGGGUGGCCAGUCUGCUUGAGAGCUGUGGCAGCCACCUGAAAGCUUUUCAGGAAGCUGUAAAGUUUUUCUUGGGACAGCCUAUCACCAUUUAUGCACCCCACCAAGUGCUGAGCCUGCUAGAGCAAAAAGGAAAUUUGUGGCUCAUUGCUGGAAGAAUGGGCAGGUACCAAGCAAGUCCUCUCAACAAUCCUAAUGUCUCCCUGAAAACUGUAAGUUAAAUCCUGCCUCCCUUCUGGAGCUUGGCUCAGCUGUACUAAUGCAUGACUGUGCUGAAAUAAUUGUGUAUUCUAGCAAAAUUGAUUUACAGGACCAUCUUUUAGAAGAGGAAGACUGGGCUCUCUAUGCAAAGGAAACAGAAAGGCUGGAUAUGCAGUUGUGGCUCUUAAAGGACUAGUAGAGACCAAGACCUUACUGCUGGGAAUCUCUGCUCAUAAAUCUGAACUGAUUGCAUUGAUGAGGGCACUGGAAUUGUCACACAAAGAGAGAGUGAAUGUAUAUACUGACUUGAGAUUUGCUGCAUUCCUUUGAGCCUGGAGAUAAGGUGCUCCUUGAGACUUGGAAGACAGGAUGGAUCCCCAGAAAGCCAACAAGAAGGAAAGUGGACUGGACCUUGGGACAUACUCCUCACCACCUCCACCAUGGUGAAACUGGUAGGAAUAAAGCCUUGGAUUCAUCACACCAGAGUAAAGAGAGCUCCAGAACAAUGGACCACCAAAUCAUAAGUAACAUCUGAAAGUCAUUGUUAGAAAAUAAUGACAUACAUUAUUUUAUUUUUGUUCAACCCCCAUGUUAUGGAGAACUUACUCCUUUCAAACAAGAUGAAAAUAUUUGGGUAUAUUUAGCAAAAAAAGGUCUGAAUAUCUCUGACUUUUGUCUUGCAGGAGGAAGCUCCUGGCUGCCUAGUUUUAAUGACCUAGUAUUAAAUGCCUAGAGGCACUUGUUGUUUUCAUUCUUUUUAUCUUUUUCAGUAUCAUAGCUUGUUGUUAUACACAAUGUGUUCCCUUAUGUGGAUCUGCAAUUAAGUGUAUUCCUAAAGCCCUUAUGAGACUUUCUACUGCUAAGAUAUAUGCUCAACAGCAAAAUGAGUACUCCAUAUGAAACGAAUCUCACAGAAAUAAGAUAGUUUAGACUAACAGUGAGGAAUGAUGGGGGAACUCAAGAGUUCAAAAUUUUUAGCUGUAGUUAUAUAGUUCAUAGGCCUGGUCAAUGCAUGUAGAAAGCUAUUGUUCAGGAACUGGAAUGUUGUGGCCGAACCCACCCUGACUCCAGGAGACCAUAAGUAGUUCAACCUUUGUGCCCUGUGAGGACCACAGGCGAUCAAGAUGGAAUCUGAGCCAUUGUGUUUCAGGGAGGGAACAUCUGCUGACUAGGAGACAGAUGAAGAAUCACGGGAAAGAAAUAAAAGCCAUUGUCACCACAUUCCCCCCAAAAUGUGGAGCAACGCAACACUUCCCUGGACAAUCCUGCACAUGUUUAUUGAUGACAGCCAAGCUCACCCCUGAACACUAGAAGUGGGAAGAUGUCAAGAGAUAAAGAGGGAGGAUAAACAAGGAAUAAGGCAAUCUCAUAGACACAGAGGACGAUGUGUUGAUUAUCAGAUGGAAAUGGGAAUGGAAGGAGGUGGAGGAGGGUAAAGAGGGUACACGGUGGUGGAAGGAUACUUGACUUGGGUGAUGAACACACAAUACAGUGUACAGAUGAUGUGUUAUAGAACUGUAUUCCUGAAACCGAGGCAGGAGAUAGGAAGGUGGAAACUCCGGAGGUGCCCCAGGGCUAAGAAAGGACAUUGAUACAGGACAGAGACCCUGUUCUAAGACCAGUUGUUCCUGUUUUCUGGAAAAGCAAUGGAUCAUGGUGAGUCAUGAAUACACUUCCACAGAAGAUGCUG